rnacentral:lncRNA from 1 species
CUUUCUUUCUUUUUUUUUUUUUUUGACAGGAUGGGCUGGGGUUGGGGGAGGAGGAAGCAAGAAUUAAGCAGAGAAGGCAAGCUCCUUUCUGUUCAUCUAACUCAAAGAUUCUUCCUGGCUAAAGAAACCCAUAAAAGUGGAAAACUCAAACUCCACAGUGCAAAUAUCUCUUGAGUCUGCCUGCACUACCCUUUCUUGAAUGUGUAUUGAUAAGACUGCAGUUGACAUUUUAAGAAAUUUAAAUUUCAACCUGAAGUCAAUAAGGACACCUCAGAAGUUUUCAAAGGAAGGAUGGAGUCUGUUGAAAAGAACCGGUUGGUAAAAUGAGAAAAAAUGGAUUGAAGGAGACCCAAGUGACCACCUGGUAAUUACUUCAACAGCAGAGCGACUCAUACAGCCGGCAGUCCACUUUGUUCUUCUAUAGAUCCUGCCUGUGGUGUUGGAUCUAACAGCUUCUUCCCUGACCCAAGAUUAUGAAGGAUUUCUCCUGUGUUCUCUUCUAAAAAUUUUACAUUUAGGUACAUAAUCCAUUUUGAGCUAAUUCUUUUAAAUAGUGCAAAGUAUGGAUUGAAGUUCUUUUUUUUUUUUUUUUUUGCAGAUACAUAUUUAAUUUUUCCAGCACCAUUUGUUGAAAAGACUAAUGUUCUUGCCUGAAUAGCCUUUGCAUUGUUGUUGAAAAUCAUGUUCACACAUGUACACAUUCCACUGAUCUAUUUGCCUCUUUGUGAAAAUACUACUAUUUUGAUUAAUAUAUAUUUAUAGGGAGUCUUAAAAUCAUAUCUUAAAAAGAUAGUGGAAGUUAUUUAACCUUACUCUUGCUUUUAGAAAUUGUUUUGGAUAUUCUAGAUCUUUUGUGUUUCCAUAUAAAUUUUAUAAUCAGUUUGGCAAUUUAUUUAAAAUAUUCUUCUGGGAUUUUGAUGGACAUUACACUGAAUCGAUGGAUCGCUUUGGGGACAACUGACAUCUUAACAAUAUUGAGUCAUCUAACAUAUGAUCAUGGAAAUUGCUCCAUUUAUUUAGAUCUUCUUUCACAUCUUGAAGCAGUGUUUUGCGUUUUCAGUGUAUAGGUAUUUAAUAGAUUUAAAAAUAUGAUCCCUAAAUAUUCAAUGUUUUUGAUGCUAUUGGAAUUUUAAAAAAUUAAUUUCUGUUCUGAGGAAGGAAAAUAAUAAAAGAUUAAACAAGAAAAAUAAAAAUAAUCAAAAUAAAAGAUAAAUCAUUGACAAAUAUAAUAAAAAAUAAAAUAAUAACAAAAAA